UGGGGAAUCUUGGACAAUGGGGGCAACCCUGAUCCAGCCAUGCCGCGUGAGUGAUGAAGGCCUUAGGGUCGUAAAGCUCUUUCGCCUGUGAAGAUAAUGACGGUAGCAGGUAAAGAAACCCCGGCUAACUCCGUGCCAGCAGCCGCGGUAAUACGGAGGGGGUUAGCGUUGUUCGGAAUUACUGGGCGUAAAGCGCACGUAGGCGGACCAGAAAGUUGGGGGUGAAAUCCCGGGGGCUCAACCCCGGAACUGCCUCCAAAACUAUUGGUCUAGAGUUCGAGAGAGGUGAGUGGGAAUUCCAAGUGUAGAGGUGAAAUUCGUAGAUAUUUGGAGGAACACCAGUGGCGAAGGCGGCUCACUGGCUCGAUACUGACGCUGAGGUGCGAAAGUGUGGGGAGCAAACAGGAUUAGAUACCCUGGUAGUCCACACCGUAAAACGAUGAAUGCCAGUCGUCGGGUAGCAUGCUAUUCGGUGACACACCUAACGGAUUAAGCAUUCC
rnacentral:rRNA from 1 species